rnacentral:rRNA from 1 species
CUCCAAUCAGUCAAGAAUACCCGCUGAAUUUAAGCAUAUCAGUAAGCGGA